rnacentral:rRNA from 1 species
UACGAAGGGGGCUAGCGUUGCUCGGAAUUACUGGGCGUAAAGCGCACGUAGGCGGAUUGUUAAGUCGGGGGUGAAAUCCCGGGGCUCAACUCCGGGGCCGCAGGUGAGACUGUGUGGCUAGAGCAUGGUAGAGGCGAGUGGAAUUCCCGGUGUAGCGGUGGAAUGCGUAGAUAUCGGGAAGAACACCGGUGGCGAAGGCGGCUCGCUGGGCCAUUGCUGACGCUGAGGCGCGAAAGCGUGGGGGAGCAAACAGG